rnacentral:rRNA from 1 species
AUACGUAGGUGGCAAGCGUUGUCCGGAAUUAUUGGGCGUAAAGCGCGCGCAGGCGGUCCCUUAAGUCUGAUGUGAAAGCCCCCGGCUUAACCGGGGAGGGUCAUUGGAAACUGGGGGACUUGAGUGCAGAAGAGAAGAGCGGAAUUCCACGUGUAGCGGUGAAAUGCGUAGAGAUGUGGAGGAACACCAGUGGCGAAGGCGGCUCUUUGGUCUGUAACUGACGCUGAGGCGCGAAAGCGUGGGGAGCAAACAGGAUUAGAUACCCUGGUAGUCCACGCCGUAAACGAUGAGUGCUAAGUGUUAGAGGGUUUCCGCCCUUUAGUGCUGCAGCUAACGCAUUAAGCACUCCGCCUGGGGAGUACGGCCGCAAGGCUGAA